GACGAACGCUGGCGGCGUGCCUAAUACAUGCAAGUAGGACGCAGUUGCGAACGGGUGAGUCACGCGUAGGUAACUGCCUAUUAGAGGGGGAUAACUAUUGGAAACGAUAGCUAAUACCGCAUACUAGUAGAUGGACCUGCGUUGUAUUAGCUAGUAGGUAGGGUAAUGGCCUAACUAGGCGACGAUACAUAGCCGACCUGAGAGGGUGGUCGGGCACACUGGGGAUUGGACACGGCCCAGACUCCUAAGGGGGGGAGCCGUAGGGGAUCUUCGGAAAAGGGGGGAAACCCGACCGAGCAACGCCGCGGGAGUGAAGAAGGUUUUCGGGUCGUAAAGCUAUGUUGUGAAGGAAGCGGUACUUACCCAGAAAGGGCCGGCUAACUACGUGCCAGCCGCCGCGGUAAUUC
rnacentral:rRNA from 1 species